rnacentral:rRNA from 1 species
CCUACGGGAGGCAGCAGUGGGGAAUUUUGCGCAAUGGGGGAAACCCUGACGCAGCACGCCGCGUGGAGGAUGAAGCCCCUUGGGGCGUAAACUCCUUUCGACCAAGACGAUAAUGACGGUACUGGUGGAAGAAGCACCGGCUAACUCUGUGCCAGCAGCCGCGGUAAU